rnacentral:rRNA from 1 species
AGCCGCCGCGGUAAUACCGGCGGCUCGAGUGGUGGCCACUUUAUUGGGCUUAAAGCGUUCGUAGCUGGGUUGUUAAGUCUCUUGGGAAAUCUGGCAGCUUAACUGUCAGGCGUCUAAGGGGUACUGGCAAUCUUGGGACCGGGAGAGGUGAGGGGUACUUCGGGGGUAGGAGUGAAAUCCUGUAAUCCUCGAGGGACCACCUGUGGCGAAGGCGCCUCACCAGAACGGCUUCGACAGUGAGGGACGAAAGCUGGGGGAGCAAACCGGAUUAGAUACCCGGGUAGUCCCAGCCGUAAACGAUGUGCGUUAGGUGUAUCGACGACCACGAGUCGUCGAGGUGCCGAAGGGAAACCGUGAAACGUACCGCCUGGGAAGUACGGUCGCAAGGCUGAAACUUAAAGGAAUUGGCGGGGGAGCACCACAACAGGUGGAGCCUGCGGUUUUAAAUUGGACUCAACGCCGGAAAUCUCACCGGAUAAGACAGCUGAAUGAUUGCCGGGCUGAAGACUCUGCAUGACUAGCUGAGAGGAGGUGCAUGG